GCAAAAGGCGAAGCUCUGUGUGGAAGCUGGAGAGCGGGGGGUCCGUUCUCCUAUCGCUUAAAAAGAGAAAACAGGGACUCCGACGAACCCUCACUUUCUUCCCUCCCUCCAUCCCCCUUCCUUUCCUUCGAUCGAAACCCUAAUCCCCUUCUCUCGGACGAUCCGUCUUCCGCCAUGGGGUUGUGGGAAGCUUUCCUCAAUUGGCUCCGAAGCUUAUUUUUCAAGCAAGAAAUGGAGCUGUCUUUAAUUGGACUUCAGAAUGCUGGGAAAACUUCGCUCGUGAAUGUCAUUGCAACUGGUGGAUAUAGUGAGGACAUGAUUCCUACAGUUGGAUUCAAUAUGAGGAAGGUGACAAAGGGAAAUGUCACAAUAAAGUUGUGGGAUCUUGGGGGCCAGCCUAGGUUUCGGAGCAUGUGGGAGAGAUAUUGCCGUGCAGUCUCUGCCAUUGUGAGAACAUCUAUACCUAUAUUUCAGGAAGAUAAGGUGACACACGCAGCUCAAAUUAGUUCUACAUCAACAAUAUAUCAAACUUCCAGUUUAUGUCUUUCACCUGUUGCCUAUCCUCAAUAUGCAUCAGGGUUGGGGUUGUAUCUUUCACACAAAAGAAUGAUUGAUCUUCUUCCGUGACGUUAGCCGUUGGAUUGCGCACCACACAGAUCUCCAACCACUAUGAAUUCAUUCAUUCAUCUGCUGCAUAGAUCUCAAAGCGACCAUUGUGUGAUCCAACGGUGGAUCCGUGUGAAUUAAGGUAUGUUGUUGAUGCAGCGGAUCGAGAUAACUUACCGAUCUCAAAAAGUGAACUUCAUGACCUUCUAAGGAAGCCAUCACUGAGCGGUAUUCCAUUGCUGGUCCUUGGAAACAAAAUUGAUAAGCCUGAAGCUCUGUCAAAGCAAGGAUUGACAGAGGAGAUGGGGCUGAAGUCCAUCACUGACAGGGAAGUUUGCUGUUUCAUGAUCUCAUGCAAGAACUCAACCAACAUUGACUCUGUUAUAGAUUGGCUUGUGAAGCACUCGAAAUCGAAAAACCGAUGAUUAGCCUCGUGGUGCUCAGAUUUUCCUCCUUUUUUUCCUGGGUACAGAGGUUGUGUAUAUGCUUGGUGGUGAGUUCUGCACUUGGCCAACUGGGGAUCUGAUUUUGUCAUUGUUGCCAACUUAUUUUGCGCUGAAUUGUUCCCUGGGGAGUGGGAUGAUCCGGGGUUUGUGCAAAAAACACUUAAUUAUAUUGAAACAUGGUGACUUGUGCUUUAUUUAUCUAUAGUGAUCUGUGUGAAAAUAUACGUCUGUGAAUUUAGAUAGUAUGAAAUAAAUGAUUUUAAUUGUCAUUUUCUGAAGAAAUUAA